rnacentral:rRNA from 1 species
AACGCUGGCGGCGUGCCUAAUACAUGCAAGUCGAGCGAGCUGAACACACAGAUUCACUUCGGUGAUGACGUUGGGAACGCGAGCGGCGGAUGGGUGAGUAACACGUGGGGAACCUGCCCCAUAGUCUGGGAUACCACUUGGAAACAGGUGCUAAUACCGGAUAAGAAAGCAGAUCGCAUGAUCAGCUUAUAAAAGGCGGCGUAAGCUGUCGCUAUGGGAUGGCCCCGCGGUGCAUUAGCUAGUUGGUAAGGUAACGGCCUACCAAGGCAAUGAUGCAUAGCCGAGUUGAGAGACUGAUCGGCCACAUUGGGACUGAGACACGGCCCAAACUCCUACGGGAGGCAGCAGUAGGGAAUCUUCCACAAUGGACGAAAGUCUGAUGGAGCAACGCCGCGUGAGUGAAGAAGGUUUUCGGAUCGUAAAGCUCUGUUGUUGGUGAAGAAGGAUAGAGGUUGUAACUGGCCUUUAUUUGACGGUAAUCAACCAGAAAGUCACGGCUAACUA